rnacentral:tRNA from 1 species
UUUAAUUGAAACCAAAAAGAGGUAUAUCACUGUUAAUGAUAAAAAUGAACUAAAGUUCCAAUUAAAG